GGGUCUGUAGCUCAGGUGGUUAGAGCGCACCCCUGAUAAGGGUGAGGUCGGUGGUUCGAGUCCACUCAGACCCA
rfam:Photobacterium damselae subsp. damselae CIP 102761 Contig58, whole genome shotgun sequence.